UCUUAUUUUUUUUUUUUCCUUUCUUUUCUUACGGGUUUCUUUUUUUCCUUCCUCCCUCCCCCCCCCCGCGUUCCCUUCUCCUCCUCUCCCCCCUUCCUAUCUCUCUCCUCCUCCUGCUGCUCUAGCCGAUCAGGUUUCCCCCGGCCCCGCGGUGACCAUCCGGGAUCGCUGCUGUAUCCCGGCCGCGCUCCGCCGCUCCCCCCGCCGCGACUCCCGCACCCGCCGCAAGACUAUGUGGCCCCGCCCACCGCUGCCCCGGCCGCGCCCUCCCAUUGGCUGCGCCGCGCCGGGAGGGCGGGGCUACAGCGUCUCCGUGGCAACCGUCAAUCAAGCGGCCGCGCUCCUCUCUCCGCUCCCCCCCUCCCAUCUCCACCUGGAGCCCCCGGGAAGCGGCGGCUCCGUCACCUGCGGCUUUCCCUGGAAGGGGAAGGGUUAAAACGCUCCCGGUGCUGUCGGUAUUGGUGGGUGAGGGAGUUUUGCUAUGUUCGCUUUUGGGCCCCUCAUUUCAAGAAAGUCAUUGGGGUGCUGGAGCGCGUCCAGAGAAGCGUAGCGGAGCUGGGAAAGGGUCUGGAGCGCAAGUCCUAUGGGGAGCUGUUGAGGGACUUGGGAGUGUUUCGCCUGGAGAAAAGAAGACUGAGGUGUGACUUUAUCACUGUCUGCAGCUCCCUGAAAGGAGGCUGUAGCCGGGUGGAGAUCGGGCUCUGCUCCCGGGCUACCAGCGACAGGAUGAGAGCACAGAGUCUUAAGCUCGCUAGUGGAGGUUUAGGUUGGACAUUAGGUGAAAUUUCUCCGGAGAAAGGGUGAUUAAACAUUGGAAUGGGCUGUCUAGGGAGGCGGUGGAGUUACCAUCCCUGGAGGCGUUUAAGGGCAGACUGGACGUGGCACUUAGUGCCGUGGUCUGGGUGACACGGUGGUCUUUCCCGAAGUAAUGGAUUCCGUUGUUCCUGCUGGUUAGUCAUGGGCAAGCGUCCCCCGUCUCCCCCUGUUACACGCGGAGCUCUGUGGCCCGGACAGCCCCCCCAGCCCCGCCGCCGGGCAGGCGCUGCCGCUCGGGCGGGCGGUGUCGGGGCCGGGACGCGUGCGGAACGCGCGGAGCGGCGCUGGGCGGCGGCGGGGCCUUUUGGCGGCGGGAGGAGG
rnacentral:lncRNA from 1 species